rnacentral:rRNA from 1 species
AGCCCCUACGGGAGGCAGCAGUGGGGGAUAUUGCACAAUGGGGGGAACCCUGAUGCAGCGACGCCGCGUGAGUGAAGAAGUAUUUCGGUAUGUAAAGCUCUAUCAGCAGGGAAGAAGAAAGACGGUACCUGAGUAAGAAGCCCCGGCUAACUACGUGCCAGCAGCCGCGGUAAUACGUAGGGGGCAAGCGUUAUCCGGAUUUACUGGGUGUAAAGGGAGCGUAGACGGCUGUGCAAGUCUGGAGUGAAAGGCGGGGGCCCAACCCCCGGACUGCUCUGGAAACUGUAUGGCUGAAGUGCAGGGGG